AUUGAACGCUGGCGGCAGGCCUAACACAUGCAAGUCGAGCGGAUGAAGGGAGCUUGCUCCUGGAUUCAGCGGCGGACGGGCGAGUAAUGCCUAGGAAUCUGCCUGGUAGUGGGGGAUAACGUCCGGAAACGGGCGCUAAUACCGCAUACGUCCUGAGGGAGAAAGUGGGGGAUCUUCGGACCGCACGCUAUCAGAUGAGCCUAGGUCGGAUUAGCUAGUUGGUGGGGUAAAGGCCUACCAAGGCGACGAUCCGUAACUGGUCUGAGAGGAUGAUCAGUCACACUGGAACUGAGACACGGUCCAGACUCCUACGGGAGGCAGCCGUGGGGAAUAUUGGACAAUGGGCGAAAGCCUGAUCCAGCCAUGCCGCGUGUGUGAAGAAGGUCUUCGGAUUGUAAAGCACUUUAAGUUGGGAGGAAGGGCAGUAAGUUAAUACCUUGCUGUUUUGACGUUACCAACAGAAUAAGCACCGGCUAACUUCGUG
rnacentral:rRNA from 1 species